rnacentral:rRNA from 1 species
GUGCCAGCAGCCGCGGUAAUACAGAGGGUGCGAGCGUUAAUCGGAUUUACUGGGCGUAAAGCGUGCGUAGGCGGCUUUUUAAGUCGGAUGUGAAAUCCCUGAGCUUAACUUAGGAAUUGCAUUCGAUACUGGGAAGCUAGAGUAUGGGAGAGGAUGGUAGAAUUCCAGGUGUAGCGGUGAAAUGCGUAGAGAUCUGGAGGAAUACCGAUGGCGAAGGCAGCCAUCUGGCCUAAUACUGACGCUGAGGUACGAAAGCAUGGGGAGCAAACAGGAUUAGAUACCCCGGUAGUCC